CUCAGAUAUUCGAGAACUGCAACCAGUCGAGUCUACAGCAUCCAGGUGAGAUGAGCCACUGAAGCAAGGGAGAAACUGUCAUUGGGAAGAGAAUCUUUACUACUGUGUGACCAAAGAAAUGUUAUCACCUGACUACUCACACUGCAUGACUCACACACACACACACACACACACACAGUACAACUAUCCAAAGUAAAACUCCAUGAUGGCACUACCCACCACUUUACACCUCAAUCUAGAUGGAAAUGCAGUUUUUGUGAUUUUCCCUAUUAAAUUGAGCCUUGUCAAAAACUCAUCCAACAGCUUGAGAAUAUGGAUCCCGAGCAAACACGCUCACAUCAGGGCUAACAAAGACUAUCUGAGUGGGCUAAGUAAGGAAUAAAGCAUGUUGUGUCAUGCCGUUAGAUCAACAAUGUGGUGGUGUGAUGCAGCCAGAUGUGAAGCGCAGUUCCUCCUAACCACCCGACGUUGAUAAUUUUGCAAGCAUAACUCAUCCUGAAGUGUUUGAUUCCUCUUAUACCACAGCAAAAACAAUACAUGGUACUUUUGAUCAGUGUCUAGUCACAUACCCAUCAGUGUCCUGCUACAGUAUGCAAUUGAUACCAAAUUGUUUCACAGAUAAUUCUGAUAUCACUAACAUUAUAACAGCUGUAAAAAUUCUCCCUCCUCAUCAGUUUCUCUCUCUCUCUCUCUCUCUCUCAAACAUUGCAGCUUGUCAUCUUACCAAGAACCCGGAAAGUACUUUCUUUUCCACGGCAGGAAACUGACUGGCACAACACUCUAGAAAUUACACAUUUCCCAUAGCGUAAUGUUAAAUGUGCUGCCUGAGGCCACUUGCACGGUCCUUCAAAGCAACGGGGCAUUUGCUACUUUUACCCUUCUUUCAGCCUCCUCAUCUUUCAUCUCAAGUUCACCUUUCUCUAGUGUAGUUAUCCAGUGAAGCAUCGCUUUUUCAUCCCUAACUCGACAUGACUCGACAUUGAACCCACACCAUAAAGCCUAUUAUGUCAUCAAGAUAAAUCAAAUAACAGCACUGGGUUCUUCGAACCUCCCAUGGCACUCUGCCCACCUUCAUUCCACCCUGUCUCCACUUUCACUUGUACUUACUGCAUUUUUCAUCACCAGAGUCACAAAAGGGUAUUUUUGGUAUUCCAGUGAAAGCAAAUGCCUUGUAGCCACGCUUGGGAUUUCAACGUGUGCUUUAUGGCCAGCAAAGGAAUGACAAGGGAAACUGUAACUUACUGUACUUAACAAACUGUAAACUCACAGUCGAUUGAGACUCCUUUUAAAUAAUCAGAUAUUUUAUAAUGCUAAUGCUAAAUAUAAAAUAUGCCAUUUCGAUAAGCCUCUUUCUACUGUGGAAUAUUUAAACAGCUAUGCCUUGGCUUUUCAUCUUCAAGUUAGUUACACAAGGGUCUGGUUUAAUAAAAGAUACAAUCAUGUAUAAUUGAGGUACUUAAACAUUACCUUCAAACACACAGCGCUGCAUAGCUAACCUAAUAUUCAGCAAGAAUUGAUCCUAACUUUAAACUUCAAAAGAUAUGCCAAUCACAUAGCUAUACUGCAACAAGUGGUAGCUUAGUGGUUAAUAUGUUGGAUGUCUGAACAGAAGGUUGUGAGUUUGAAUCCCAGGUCCACCAAGCUGCCACUGCUGGGUCUCUGAGCAAGGCUCAGUUGCAUAUAAACCCUUAACUGCUCAUUUAUAUAAAUGACAUAAAUGUAAGUCUCUCUGGAUAAGGGCUUCUGCCAAAUGCUAUAAAUGUAAAUGUACUGCAAGAACAUAAAUGUGUUGCUGUAGAAGAAGUUGAGCAUGAAGACAUUAUUCUUUCAUUCAUCCUAACUAAGAGGUUAUUCCAAGUCAGGGGUGUAGUGGAUGUGGACUGGAUGUGACGCAGGAACACACCCUGGAUGGUAAGCAUGUUUUAAAGAGUAGGAUGACACCAUUGAACCAUGAGGAUUAUUUUGCAAUCUUAACACAUUCUGAAGUAAUUCCACGUAUAACACAUAAAAAUAUAAAGAACACUAGAUUAGAUAGAUAGAUAGAUAGAUAGAUAGAUAGAUAGAUAGAUAGAUAGAUAGAUAGAUAGAUAGAUAGAUAGAUAGAUAGAUAGAGUGGAACCUCGGCAUACAAAUUUUAUUCAUUCUGGAGGUGAGUUCUUAGGGUGAAAAUAGCGAAAUAAUGUAAAUAAUGAAUAAAUAAUGUAAAUGCAGAUAAUCCGUUCCAGCCACCCAAAAAUAUUCCCAAUACGAAGCGUAUGUAAACUGUAUGGCUGCUUACAAAGAACUGACCCAAGCCAAGCAUUCCAAGUCCUCAUAGGAAGUCGUGCCACCAAACUUGAGCUAAAAAUAGAGAAGACCACCCAUGCCACCAGUCUGUCUGUAGCUUUUAAGCACAUGCCGAAGGCAGUGCUGGUAUUGUGGGUUGACUCUUUCAAAACAGCUUUUGCUGACUGAGAAAUAAUUCGUAAACUCUCUUCGGUUGGCUUCCCUUGGCUUUCCACUGAAGCAAACAAGUUUUGAACGGCUCCCAGACGUAAGCGCGAUUUAGCCAGUUUGUUCGUAUGCCGAAUUCUUAAGGCAAAAAUUCGUAAAGAGAGCAUUCGUAUGCCGAGGUUCCACUGUACAGGUAUGUGUUAGCUGUGUAUACACCACAGUAUGUGUAAAAACACAAAUAUGUGUGUCUGUGCAAUAUGUGUGCAUUAUGUACAUUGUAUUGAUUGUGUAUCAAUAACAGCAGUAAAAAGUCAUCCCCCAUCAGUUCCUUCUCUCUCUCUCUCUCUCUCUCUCUCCCUUUCUCAAUGGAUAAAACUAGUGAACCCUGAGGAAACCUAUGUGAGACACCAACAAACUUGACACAGACAACAACCUGAGGAAUGAGACUCUGGAGCGAUGAGCUGCCAGAGAAAAGAGAUUUUUUCUUUUUCUGUAUUUAUUUACUUUUAAGGCAUUUACAAUGGAUCUUUAAACAGACACUUUGAUCUGAAGUGAUUUUUGUGAAAGUCUGGCUUUAAUCAGAAAGGCUGAAUACAAUCCAAUCACAUUAAAGCUGAAGAUUCUCAGUGGUCUAUGAGCCGUAGCCGUACCUUACACGACAAAAUGAGCAUCUGAUUUAAUGAAUGGAAUAUAUUUCAGCCUGGAAACUAGACUUACUUUGAUAAUCCAAAGAAAUGACCAAAGAUGGCAUUGAAGUGGGUUGAAUCCGCUUACAGAGACACUGUUUAUGUGCUAGCUGCUCUUAUGUGUACUACUCUCUAUUACUGGGAGGGUUUCUAAAUAGUCCAGUCUCUGUAAUGGUUGCUUUGCUGCAGUGUGUAUGGAGUGGCUAAUGCCUGUGGGGCACAUAUGGUUUAGUGUCCUGCUUAAGGUCCAAACACUAUUAAAACAAAGAAUUUAUGGCUACUUACUGUAUAUUUACUGCUUUCCAGAAAUGUUGGUCAGCCUCUCUGGUGUUCACUGGUUUUUUACGUUUCGAUACAAACUGUCUGGCUAUGUAGGACAAAAAAACAGCUUUAUAGAGACACAUGGUCUGCAAUUAACCAGUAAAUUCCCAAAUGUUUUUUUUUAUGCUUUAUAACCCUGGUGUCUUGAUCAUAAUAGUAAAAAUCAAUAUGUUAUUCUAUUU